AGGACUAAUCGCCAGGAUGAUACUUUUUUAUAUUACUUCUCGAAAUUACCUUACAAAACCUUACUUUCUUGGUAUUUUAUUAAUUUUAUAUUCCUGCACAAGCUCCAAUUCGGAAGAGAACAUCCAUCCGAAAUCAUUAACUAAAAUGAGCUUUUCAAAAAAAGUUAGGAAUUUGAACAAGUUUCAGCAGUUGAUCAGGGCUUAGUUAUGAACAAAUCUCAAGUCUGCGGUGGUGAGAAACUGGACGACAGGAUGAUUUGUGUAAGCUGGGACAGAGUGAGGCUAAAGAGUUAACUUUAGCUGAACAGGAUGUCAUCAAGCUUCCAGUUCAGUGUGUGGACGAUCCAAUGCCUUUAAACCCUGUGGUGGUUUUUGAAGACGAGGCAUUCCCCAUGCGUUAUCAUUAUCCAUGUCUAAUUCAAUGUGUUGAUGACCCAACUGGUCCAAAUGCUAUUAAAGAUUAGACUUUCUCAACGGCAAAUAAGUCUAGAAAAGGCUGGUGGAAGAAAGAAUAAACAUUGUCAAAUAAAUAUUUUUCCACAUAAAAUGAUGUAAAAUGUGUUAUUUGUUAAGUAAUUUGAUGCCAAGUACUGUGAGAAAUGAUGCAGUAUUCAGCAUUAGUAGAUAGGCUGUAAACAAGAUUGAAGAUUAACCUUCUGUAUAAACCAUGUGUGACUUAUGAUUACUACUAAUCAUCAUUAUUAUCGACA